rnacentral:ncRNA from 1 species
UUAGAUGGCGCGGGGUGUCCGUAACAGGGCUGAGAGUUACCCGUCGAACUUGAACUGGUUCAUACCAGCGUAAGGACGCCUUCCAAAAGUCUU